UACAGCGGGACCGCCGGGGCUGCGAACCUGUGUCUGAACAUCCUACUCGCCAGGUUUGGAAAACCCGACCCACAGUCAUCCGUAUAAACCAUUCUUCUCUGACUGUCGUAUCUUGGCUUUCAUAAAAUCCAGGUGUCACUAGGGGCCGGAGAGAGGGGAAGAGCUCGGAUUACUGCUUUGGGAAGUUUUUACACGCUAUUAACCCACCCCCGCGCGCACUGUGUCCUGAAGCCAAGAAUUUCAGAAAUCCGAGGCACAAAAACGCUAGUGUUUGUGGUCAAGGAUUAAAGAAGCUAGUUUGUCAUUAUUAAAUCUGUUCUAGUUCUUUAUUAAAUCCUGCUAGUGUCUGUUUGAAAAACUUAAGUCUGGGAAUGGAGUGGUUCUUGCUAUUGGGGACGCGGGCUUAUCGUGUGAGAGCCUUUUUUGUGAAUCCGAGCUAUGUCUUGUCUUUCUUCUCAUGGUGGGGAGUAAAAGAAACGCAAUCCUCUCCGUUGAACAAAUAAAGGAACCGUGUUGUGACUUGCCGAUGCUGCCAUCGUGAAGCAGAAAAGAAAUACGAACCGCGACCUCGGCCCUGACCCAGUUUCUAGCAGCCCCUUUGCUCCUGGAACGCUUAAGUAAAUAAACCGCAAGCCAGAAAAGUAAGGAUUUCAGAGAGAGAGUGCUGUUCACACUGAGAUGCUUGCGACCAGUGGAGGCGAUCUCCUAGAUUUCAACCCCUGCAUCUGAGGUGAAGAAAACCCCCAACUUGCCACAGCAGAAGAAUCUACACCUUUUCAUAUCUGUUGUUUCUCCUUUCCCCCA